rnacentral:lncRNA from 1 species
AAGUUCGGUUGGUGUUUCUGCAGAGGUUUCCCCCUCGAGCGGUGGCAGAGUUUCUGAGUGCGGUAGUAGCAGCUCUGGCGGCAGCAACAGUGACUACGAGGGAUGGCGGCGGCUGCAGCAGGACCUGCAGCAUCUCAGAGAUUUUUCCAGAGCUUCUCAGAUGCUGUAAUCGACCAGGACCCCCAGGCGGCGUUAGAGGUGUGCAGUGAAGACAAACUAUGAAGCUCUAAAGGAAUGUAAA